rnacentral:rRNA from 1 species
UACAGAGGGGGCAAGCGUUGUUCGGAAUUACUGGGCGUAAAGGGCGCGUAGGUGGCCUUCUAAGUUGAACGUGAAAUCCCUGGGCUCAACCCAGGAACUGCGUCCAAGACUGGGAGGCUUGAAUCCGGGAGAGGGAUGCGGAAUUCCUGGUGUAGCGGUGAAAUGCGCAGAUAUCAGGAAGAACACCCGUGGCGAAGGCGGCUCUCUGGGACGGUACUGACGCUGAGACGCGAAAGCGUGGGGAGCGAACAGG